CACCAACGUGAAGAUAUUUGAUGGAUUUUUUGUGCUGCAUUUGAUGAGGGAUGUUCCAGCUACUUACGGAAAUAUCUUCAAAAAUAUUUUGGGAAUGGAAGUUAGACAAUUCAACAUCGAGGGACCUGAUCAAAGACGUUCAUCUGAUUUCAAUGAAGACCUAAAAAAUGUAAAUUUCACAGAAGCAUUG